GUGCCUGUGGCUCAAAGGAGUAGGGUGCCAGCCUCAUAUGCAGGAGAUGGCUGGUUCAAACCCAGCCCCGGACA
rnacentral:tRNA from 1 species